GACUCGUACGUCGGCGACCCUCGCACCCCCCGCUCGUCAGUCUGCCGCCCGUAAUUCUGCGCCCUUCGUCGCGCGGCUGUCUAGGUCCUCUUAAUCUUUAGCCGUACAAUCGUUGCGCGGAAGAGCUGUACCAAUCGGUUUGCCCUGCACGCGUAUGAGGACGUGCUCGGGGGCUGCUGCGGCCAUCUGCACCAUCCAGAACCUCGAUUUGGUGAGUUGCCCGAUCGAUUUUCCCAUCUGCACCUCAUUCAUCCCACGCACAUCAGGUGCUUGUGUUUUUGUCCAACCAAUUUCGUCCAAGUCGGCGAUGACUCCUCUCUCCCGCUUGUUGGGAACGGGCUCAUGUUGGCAUUGUGAUGCGGGAGGAGGCCGCUGCAGUGGGUAGGGGCAUCACGGAGGUGCCAUCGGCCAUUCGGCCGUCAAGCCCCUCUUGGGCCCUGCUCAUAGAGGACUGAAUUCUGCUGGUUGAGUGGCCAUGAGAUAUAUCGAGAGAAGGGUAUUAGGUUCAGACGAGCUGAUUCCCAGGUAUCCUCUUUAUGAUGUUGCUGGUCGUUAGUACCAAAAGAUGGAAUUUAUCUUAUAGAUUUAUUUUCACCACUCGGUAGGUUUCCCCUUUUACUAACUCAAAAUGCAACUGUUACUUCCACACAACUGUCUAAAACAAGAAAAGCUUACCUGGACAAGUAUGCACAGGAAGUAGCACAAGAAGGUAUUUAAUCCAUUCGUGGACAUGGUGUACAUGAUAUGUUAUCCAUUCGUGUAAUAUUUCAUUCAACGGAUCAAAACAAUUUUGGUGCUGUUGAAAUAUCAUUAAGGUGAUGGUUUCAUGGUGAUUUAGGUUGCUCUA